UGGGGAAUUUUGCACAAUGGGGGAAACCCUGAUGCAGCGACGCCGCGUGAUUUAGAAGGCUUUCGGGUUGUAAAAAUCUUUUCUAUGGGAAGAAAAUGACAGUACCAUAGGAAUAAGUACCGGCUAAUUACUUUCCAGCAGCCGCGGUAAUACGUAAGGUCCGAGCGUUGUCCGGAAUCAUUGGGCGUAAAGGGUACGUAGGCGGGUAAGCAAGUUAGAAGUGAAAUCCUAUAGCUCAACUAUAGUAAGCUUUUAAAACUGCUCAUCUUGAGAUAUGGAAGGGAAAGUGGAAUUACUAGUGUAGCGCUGAAAUGCGCAGAUAUUAGGAGGAAAACCAGUGACGUAGGCGACUUUCUAACCAUAACCUAACGCUGAGGUACGAAAGCGUGGGUAGCAAACAGG
rnacentral:rRNA from 1 species